AGAGUUUGAUCCUGGCUCAGGAUGAACGCUAGCGGCAGGCUUAACACAUGCAAGUCGAGGGGUAGUAGUAGCAAUACUAUGAGACCGGCAAACGGGUGCGGAACACGUACACAAUCUACCUUUAUCUGGGGCAUAGCCCGAAGAAAUUCGGAUUAAUUCCCCAUAAUAUAAUUGGAUGGCAUCAUUUGAUUAUUAAAACUCCGGUGGAUAGAGAUGAGUGCGCGUCCCAUUAGCUAGUUGGUAGGGUAACGGCCUACCAAGGCGACGAUGGGUAGCUGGUGUGAGAGCACGACCAGCCACACGGGCACUGAGACACGGGCCCGACUCCUACGGGAGGCAGCAGUGAGGAAUAUUGGUCAAUGGACGCAAGUCUGAACCAGCCAUGCCGCGUGAAGGAUGAAGGCCUUCUGGGUUGUAAACUUCUUUUAUGUGGGAAGAAAACUACGGUUUCUACUGUAGCCGACGGUACCAUAGGAAUAAGCACCGGCUAACUCCGUGCCAGCAGCCGCGGUAAUACGGAGGGUGCAAGCGUUAUCCGGAUUCACUGGGUUUAAAGGGUGUGUAGGCGGGCUGUUAAGUCAGUGGUGGAAUCUCCGGGCUCAACCCGGAAACUGCCAUUGAUACUAUCAGUCUUGAAUUCUGUUGAGGUGGGCGGAAUAUGUCAUGUAGCGGUGAAAUGCAUAGAUAUGACAUAGAACACCAAUUGCGAAGGCAGCUCACUAAGCAGCGAUUGACGCUGAGGCACGAAAGCGUGGGGAUCAAACAGGAUUAGAUACCCUGGUAGUCC
rnacentral:rRNA from 1 species